GACGAACGCUGGCGGCGUGCCUAAUACAUGCAAGUAGAACGCUGAAGGAGGAGCUUGCUCUUCUGGAUGAGUUGCGAACGGGUGAGUAACGCGUAGGUAACCUGCCUGGUAGCGGGGGAUAACUAUUGGAAACGAUAGCUAAUACCGCAUAAAAUUGAUUAUUGCAUGAUAGUCAAUUAAAAGUUGCAAUUGCAUCACUACCAGAUGGUCCUGCUUUGUAUUAGCUAGUUGGUGAGGUAACGGCUCACCAAGGCAACGAUACAUAGCCGACCUGAGAGGGUGAUCGGCCAGACUGGGAAUGAGACAAGGCACAGAAGACUACGGGAGGCAGCAGUAGGGAAUCUUCGGAAAUGGACGGAAGUCUGACCGAGCAACGCCGCGUGAGUGAAGAAGGUUUUCGGAUCGUAAAGCUCUGUUGUAAGAGAAGAACGAGUGUGAGAGUGGAAAGUUCACACUGUGACGGUAUCUUACCAGAAAGGGACGGCUAACUACGUG
rnacentral:rRNA from 1 species